UAAAACAUUAUCACAGACUGGAAUAAUACAGUUUCACUGGGUUGUGAAAUAUGUUUAUCUCAAAUAAUAGAGUGAAAUCCGUUCAUCUCAAAUAACACAGUGAGAUAAUAUAAUUUCAAUUUAUUUAAAAGGUGAUUUCAGUUAUUAAAAUUUCAUAUUUUUCAAAAAAGAUUGAAAUUCAACAUUCCAAAGUGGCACAAGCAAUUUUAAUAUAUAUUGAAACAGCUAUUUCAAUACAUAUCUCACUGAGAUAACAAGUUACAGAUUUGAGAAAUAGAAGUUUCAUAUAUUUCAGAGAAGUAAUUUCAUAAUUUUUCGGAGAAAUUAGUUUCACAAAUUGAACAACCCAGUGAAAUCUCAGUUUCACAACCUGCAACUACAUAUAGCUAUUUCAAUAUAUAUCUCACUGAAAUAUCAUUUCAACUCUUUCAAAAAAUAUUUCAAUCUUGGUUCUCAACUACACACACAGGUACAUAGCUGUAACUUUAUUUCUGAAAUUUAUUCACUCUUGGUUCUCUUCCAAAAAAGUGUAUCACAUGCCCUCUGUCACAAACAUUCAAAUAACUGAAAUUGAAGAGGGAGCGGAGGCCGAUGAUCUGGUAGAGAAACAAGGAAUGUUGAAAUCAUGCAAAAUAAAACUGAAAUCGUGAUAUGGAGAGAGGUUAGGGGAGAUGGGAUUCAUGACUCACCAGAUCCGAUGGCGGUCAGGCUUGGAGUCGCCAGAUCUGGCAACAACCGUGCGUGGCGACUCGUCGUGGUGCCCGUGCUGCACGGAGCCACGAACGGCGAGCAUGGCCGCUGGGGUGUCAGGCCUGACGAAGAGUACGAGUUCUUCAGUUAACGGACGGCGUGGAUACAAGCAUUCGGGAGGAUCCAACGGCUCGCGUGGCUCGCCCUACUGUUACUUUUUCUACAGCUUUCCCCUUUGUUGUACUGUUACUUUUCCUUCCCUGUCGCUGGGCUAUUUUAAGCUCCACCGCUUGCCUGUAAGCGGCAUCGUUGAAUUGUAUGAGCUUGCUCAAAACAUAUAUACAAUCCCUCCUUUAGAGAAUAUACCAGCAUAUACUUGCACUUUCCCCAUUUUUCCUCUUGGCUCGCGACGAACCCUAACACAAAUCGAGAUCGGGCCAUGACAAUUGGUAUCAUGAGCAAGGUUCUUCCUCGGCGGCGCCGCGAAUCGGCGGGGUUCCCGUGAGUUGCCCUCCCUUCCCCCCCUUCUGAAGGCGGCAGCGGUGACUCUCCCUCCCUUCCCUCCCUUCUUUGGCGGCGACGGCGGCGGCGAUUUUGGGCGGCGCAGGCGGCGGAGUGGACCGGCGGCGUUGGUGGCGGUAGACUAAUUCAGCGGCAACUCGUGGCGUUCGUCUGGUUGCUUGAGCACACUGCUCAAGUGUCAAAUCCCAGGACGACAGCGAGUGGUGCUGCGCGGGCGGCGCGGACAGCAGGCGGCGGUGGACUAAUUUUUCGGUUCGGGUUACCGGUGCUCCGGCAGUAAAAUUCCUCUCCGAAUCCAUCAGUCACCAUGGGUAGAUCGAAGCCGAGUCUGGACGAGGCCGAAGUCGCUGAUCUGCUCGCGAUGAAAGCUGAAGUUGUGCAGACCAGAGAGGAAGCAACAGAGCUGCGUGAAGAUGUUGAGGGCCUGCGCAAGGAUGUCCAUGCUGUUACUCUGAAACAAGAUGCGAUGGCACAAGUGAUGGACGGCGUACAGCAAGCUGUGUCGGCGUUGAACUCCCAUCUCGCUGCGAUGUCUGACAUCCUCAAGUCCUUCAGAACACCAGGCGCAUCUGCAUCCAAUCCCCAGACCACAACCCCAACACCUGAACAAGAGGAUCCUAACAAAGCAAAGCAACAACAGGAACAAGUCAGGCCAUCCACAGAGGAACUACGAAAGCAAUUAGCUACUGAACAAGAAAAGACUCGCUUGCUAGCAACACAAGUACCUCCUACCUUGCCAGCGAUCAACAUCAACAGACGCUCGGCUCCACCGGGGUAUGCACAAGGUCAAAUUCAAGACGUACAGGCCGGGCAUUUCACACCUACUGCUCCUUCCCGUACUGCUCAUACUCCGGCGUUCCACAAUUUCCAACCACCUUGGGUGCGUACACAAUGGGAAGAUUUUUAUGGUCAGUACGAAAAUGAGAUGCGCACUCAAUUUCUCAAAUCCAUCACAAAAGGACCAAAGAUAGAAUUCCCUCGCUUUGAAGGUGUGAACCCAGCAGGAUGGAUACGCCAGUGUGACAAAUACUUCCAGAUGGCUGGUGCUCCCCCAGAAUACAGAGUGGGACUGGCACAAUUAUACAUUUCUGGACCAGCUGAUGUGUGGCUCCGUAGGUCUGGUCUCCUUAAGAAAAGAUUGACAUGGGCACAGUUUUGUGAAGAAAUUCUACACAGAUUUUCUCUAUCCAGUUCCUAUGAUCUCACUGAACGCUUCAACACUCUCAAACAGCACACUUUAUCUGUUGUGGAGUACACCCAGCAGUUUGAAGAUCUCAUGGCAGACGUAUAGGAGGAAAACCCCAUGAUCUCUGAACAAUGGUUCGUCAAAUGCUAUGUCAAUGGCCUCAAAUCUACUCUGAAGUAUCAACUUCGACCAUUGAAACCAGCAUCACUGACUGACGCUUAUUGGCUUGUUGUGGAUUUGGAACAAGGAGCAAUGGAAAAGAAAAAAGCCACAACAUUUAGUACUUCUAGCAGACCUGCUACUAGUUACUACAAACAAACACCCAUAGUCCAGGACAAGACUAAUGAUUUCAAGCAACCACUCACCACACAAAGAGCUAGGGAACCUGGGAAGUGUUGGCGAUGUGGGGAUGCCUGGUUCCAUGGGCAUAAAUGUAAGCAAGCAACAGUACUAAAUGUACUCACAGGGGAAGACCCUACUGAACAGCCAAUACCACAAGAGGAGUUGGAGGAAACUGAAGAAGAGGAUCAACCAGCAACAGAAGAACAAUGCAUGAGAAUUUCUCUCCAAGCCUUGGAAACUGAUAGUGUUAAUUCCCUCUCAAUAUUAAUCUCUAUUGGGGGUAGAUAGGCUGUUGCUUUAGUAGAUUCUGGCAGUAAUGCCACCUUCAUGAGCUUGCAAUUUGCACUCCAAACUGAUUGCAAUUUUAUCAAAGAUAGUACAAGACCUGUCACUAUAGCAGGGGAGGCAAAUUAUGGUCUGGAUCCUAUAUACCGGCCACAACUUUCUCUGCUAAUUCAGAACAGUUCCAGCACUCCUUCAGAAUUCUAGACCUACCAGGACAUGAUGUCGUUCUAGGAUCAGACUGGCUAGCAAAGCAUGGGCCAGUUUCCUUCCAUUAUAACCCAAGAAAACUCACUUUGCUUAAAGAUGGAGUUACACCAGUAACUAUUCCCGCUUGUGGUCCAAUGUCUGCUGCAACUGAAAUUGAUCAUUUAUCACUAAAUAGGCUUCUGCUCAGUGGAGCUCCUGCUUACAUGAUCAGUCUAGCACAAGACACUUCUCCUACCACAAAAACAAGUGAUCCUAUUCCUCCAGAAGUACAAGAAGUAUUGGAGAAAUACCCUGAUAUCUUCACAGAGCCUGCAGGCCUUCCUCCUAAGAGGGAGCGUGACCAUGAGAUCCCCUUGGCACCUGGAAUUGACCCUCCUAACACAAGACCAUAUAGAGUACCCCACACUCAGAGAGAUGAGCUGGAGCAUCAGAUCCAUCUGUUACUCAAAAACAGAGUUAUAAGACCCAGCCAGAGCCCCUUUGCUUCUCCUGCAAUCCUUGUCAGAAAAAAAGAUGGCUCAUGGAGACUCUGCAUUGAUUAUAGAAAAUUGAAUGCAGCCACUGUCAAAAACAAGUUUCCUAUACCGGUAAUAGAAGAUCUUCUUGAUGAACUACAUGGAGCAACAGUCUUUUCCAAAUUGGACUUAAGGUCAGGCUAUCAUCAAGUGAGAAUGAAAGAAGAAGACAUACCAAAGACUGCCUUCAGAACUUCUUUUGGCCACUACGAGUUUUUAGUCAUGCCUUUUGGCCUUUCCAAUGCACCUGGCACCUUUCAAGCUCUCAUGAACAACAUCUUUGGCAGAUAUGUCAGGAAGUUUAUACUAGUGUUCUUUGAUGAUAUACUAGUCUUUAGCAAAACACUUGCAGAACAUGUCUCCCACCUGCAAAUUGUCAUGGACCUUUUGAAAGAACAUCAGCUCAAAGUCAAACUGUCCAAAUGCCACUUUGCUGUCCCUCAAGUGGAGUACCUAGGCCACAUCAUCAACAGCUCUGGAGUAGCAACAGAUCCUACCAAGAUACAAGCUGUAACAGACUGGCCCACUCCAACCACAGUAACACAACUCAGGGGAUUUCUUGGCCUAUGUGGGUAUUAUCGAAGGUUUGUCAAGAACUUUGGACCAAUAGCAAGACCCCUACAUGAUAUGCUCAAGAAAGACAGUUUUCAUUGGUCUCAAAAUCAAGAUAUUGCCUUUACACAGUUGAAAUCUGCUCUCGCUACUGCUCCAGUACUUGCGCUCCCUAAUUUUUCCCUCCCAUUCAUUCUUGAGACUGAUGCUUCUGGCACUGGGCUAGGUGCUGUACUCAUGCAGAACAGCCAACCCCUGGCUUACUACAGUUCCACCUUAUGCCCAAGAAACACCACUCUCUCAACAUAUGAGAAAGAGGCCCUAGCAAUUAUUGAAGCUCUUAAGCGUUGGAGACAUUACCUCCUUGGACACAAGCUGAUUAUAAGGACUGAUCACCAGAGCUUGCAAUUCAUGACGGAUCAGAAAGUCACAAGCAGUAUUCAGCAUAAACUCAUGGUCAAAUUGUUAGAGUAUAAUUUCCACCUGGAAUAUAGAAAAGGGAAAGAAAAUAUUGCUGCAGAUAUCCUCUCCAGGAAACAUUCUCUCCUAGCAAUUUCCAUUGUCACUCCUGAGUGGAUCAAACAAGUGGAGGCCUCUUACUUACAAGAUCCUCACUGCAAAACCCUCCUCGAACAACUAUUGUUAGCUGCUGAUCACACUGUCAACAAAAACAAACUCCAUGGAGGAGUUAUCAGACAUAAGGGAAGAAUAUAUGUAGGCAAGGAUAGCACACUAAGGAACAAACUCCUCAAAGCCCUGCACUCCUCUGCCAUUGGAGGUCAUUCUGGAAGGAAAGCAUCCUACCAGAGAAUUAAAAGAAUAUUCUAUUGGCCAGGCCUCAAACAAGAUGUGGAUUCAUUUGUGGCUCAAUGCCCAGUUUGUCAGAAAAACAAAGGUGAAAACUGCCCAUACCCUGGGUUCCUAGACCCUCUUCACAUACCUGAUAUGGUGUGGACCCACUUAAGCAUGGAUUUUGUCGAGGGCCUGCCUAAAUCUGAUGGCAUGGAUGUCAAAUUUGUGGUUGUUGACAGGCUGUCCAAAUUUGCCCAUUUCAUUCCUCUGGCCCACCCAUUCACAGUGCAAACCGUGGCCCAAGCCUUCUUGGAUAAUGUAAUCAAACUCCAUGGACCACCACUGGCAAUUGUAUCUGAUCGCGAUAGAAUCUUCACAAGCACACUCUGGCAAGAUAUCUUCAAAGCAAUGGGAAUUGAGCUGCGGUACAGUACAUCGUACCAUCCCCAGUCUGACGGACAUACUGAACGAGUGAACCAAUGCAUCGAGAAUUACCUACGCUGCAUGACAUCAAGCCAUCCAAAGCGCUGGAUCAAACAUUUGGGUCUUGCUGAAUACUGGUACAACACCUCUUUCCACUCCUCUCUUCAAAAGACACCAUUUGAAGCAAUGUACGGCUACCCACCACCAGCAAUCAGUGAGUAUAGUUUGCCUGAUGCCAUCACACCUGAGGCAGUGGAAUUUCUAACUGACAGACAAGCUUUCCUGCAACAACUCAAGUCCAAUUUGGCUGCUGCUCAAGCUCGAAUGAAAAAAUAUGCUGACCGCAAGCGUGUAGACAGGAGUUUGGAAGUAGGCAACAUGGUCUACCUCAAAAUGCAGCCCUACAUGCUCAAUGCAUUUGGUAUCCGUUCUCACAUCAAAUUACAAAGCAAAUACUACGGCCCGUUCAGAGUUCUUGCUCGUAUUGGACAAGUAGCCUACAAAUUGCUUCUACCCGAAGGUGUGGGCAUCCAUCCUGUUUUCCACAUCAGCCAACUCAAAAAGCAUAUCGGGCCAAGGGCAGUACCAUGUGCAGAUUUACCCUUGAUCACCUCUGAUGGCACAAUCCAAACUGAACCCGUACUGGUCCUGGAGACGCGCCAGAUUCCUCGCAACAACGUCGCUGUUGUUCUGUGGCUGGUACAAUGGGCCAACUUGCCCCCUGAUGAUGCAUCAUGGGAAGACGCCGAUUUCAUCAAACGCACCUCCCCCGGCUUCUUCAAGCAAACAGUCCAAGGCUGGUUCCAGCAACCAGCAGCUCCUUGAGGUCAAGAUCGCUCUUAGGGAGCGGCAUUGUCAGGCCUGACGAAGAGUACGAGUUCUUCAAUUAACGGACGGCGUGGAUACAAGCAUUCGGGAGGAUCCAACGGCUCGCGUGGCUCGCCCUACUGUUACUUUUUCUAUAGCUUUCCCCUUUGUUGUACUGUUACUUUUCCUUCCCUGUCGCUGGGCUAUUUUAAGCUCCACCGCUUGCCUGUAAGCGGCAUCGUUGAAUUGUAUGAGCUUGCUCAAAACAUAUAUACAAUCCCUCCUUUAGAGAAUAUACCAGCAUAUACUUGCACUUUCCCCAUUUUUCCUCUUGGCUCGCGACGAACCCUAGCACAAAUCGAGAUCGGGCCAUGACAUGGGGCAGCACAGAUGCCGGUGGACGGGCUUCUGGUAGGCGGGAUCGAGGAACCUCGCCGGAGUAGGUCUCCCCAACGCCCACGGCAGUGGAUCCGGCAUCGCUCCUCGCCGGCCUCGUGGUACAGUCGCGCCGCGCGCCGGUUUUGUGUGUGUCGCGGUACCGGCCACGGAAGCCGGAUCCAGUGCCGAACGUUGGUGGAGAAGGCGGAUCUGGCGGCCAUAGCCGGCGGCCGCCAUGGAACUAGCGAGAGGGAGAGGGUGGGGGACACCUCGAUGUGGGAAAGAGACAGCGGC
rnacentral:lncRNA from 1 species